rnacentral:rRNA from 1 species
UACGUAGGGGGCGAGCGUUGUCCGGAUUUAUUGGGCGUAAAGAGCUCGUAGGCGGCUUGGCAAGUCGGGUGUGAAACCUCCAGGCUCAACCUGGAGACGCCACUCGAUACUGCUAUGGCUAGAGUCCGGUAGGGGACCACGGAAUUCCUGGUGUAGCGGUGAAAUGCGCAGAUAUCAGGAGGAACACCGGUGGCGAAGGCGGUGGUCUGGGCCGGCACUGACGCUGAGGAGCGAAAGCUAGGGGAGCAAACGGG